UCUUAGUGGCGGACGGGUGAGUAACGCGUGGGUAACCUGCCUUAUACAGGGGGAUAACACUUAGAAAUAGGUGCUAAUACCGCAUAAGCGCACGGGGCUGCAUGGCCCAGUGUGAAAAACUCCGGUGGUAUAAGAUGGACCCGCGUCUGAUUAGCCAGUUGGCAGGGUAACGGCCUACCAAAGCGACGAUCAGUAGCCGGCCUGAGAGGGUGGACGGCCACAUUGGGACUGAGACACGGCCCAAACUCCUACGGGAGGCAGCAG
rnacentral:rRNA from 1 species